rnacentral:rRNA from 1 species
AGUGAAUAGAUACCCGGGUAGUCCACGCCCUAAACGAUGUCUACUAGUUGUCGGGGAUUCAUUUCCUUGGUAAACGCAGCUAAACGCGUGAAAUAGACCGCCUGGGGAGUACGGCCGCAAGGUUAAAACUCAAAGGAAUUGACGGGGACCCGCACAAGCGGUGGAUGAUGUGGAUUAAUUCGAUGCAACGCGAAAAACCUUACCUACGCUUGACAUGCCAGGAACUUUCCAGAGAUGGAUUGGUGCCCGAAAGGGAACCUGGACACAGGUGCUGCAUGGCUGUCGUCAGCUCGUGUCGUGAGAUGUUGGGUUAAGUCCCGCAACGAGCGCAACCCUUAUCCUUAGUUGCUACGCAAGGGCACUCUAGGGAGACUGCCGGUGACAAA